GGGUUGCUAAAACGUCUGUCCAGUAUGUUGGAGGCAUGCUCAGGGGUAGCCUUCUGUCCUGUUAGCAACUAAUGAAAGAAACCGAAAACAGACAUUCAGUAAGUCCAGAUUUUCACAUGCUAAAUGGCAAAGAGGAUAAUAAGCCCGACUUAUAGAACUGCAACAAUAAAAAGUUUACCAACCUUAA